GGUCCGGUAGAUCAAUUGGUUAGAUCGCAGCCCUGUCACGGCUGAGGUUGCGGGUUCGAGCCCCGUCCGGACCG
rnacentral:tRNA from 1 species